GCAAGUCGAGCGAAUGGAUUAAGAGCUUGCUCUUAUGAAGUUAGCGGCGGACGGGUGAGUAACACGUGGGUAACCUGCCCAUAAGACUGGGAUAACUCCGGGAAACCGGGGCUAAUACCGGAUAACAUUUUGAACUGCAUGGUUCGAAAUUGAAAGGCGGCUUCGGCUGUCACUUAUGGAUGGACCCGCGUCGCAUUAGCUAGUUGGUGAGGUAACGGCUCACCAAGGCAACGAUGCGUAGCCGACCUGAGAGGGUGAUCGGCCACACUGGGACUGAGACACGGCCCAGACUCCUACGGGAGGCAGCAGUAGGGAAUCUUCCGCAAUGGACGAAAGUCUGACGGAGCAACGCCGCGUGAGUGAUGAAGGCUUUCGGGUCGUAAAACUCUGUUGUUAGGGAAGAACAAGUGCUAGUUGAAUAAGCUGGCACCUUGACGGUACCUAACCAGAAAGCCACGGCUAACUACGUGCCAGCAGCCGCGGUAAUACGUAGGUGGCAAGCGUUAUCCGGAAUUAUUGGGCGUAAAGCGCGCGCAGGUGGUUUCUUAAGUCUGAUGUGAAAGCCCACGGCUCAACCGUGGAGGGUCAUUGGAAACUGGGAGACUUGAGUGCAGAAGAGGAGAGUGGAAUUCCAUGUGUAGCGGUGAAAUGCGUAGAGAUAUGGAGGAACACCAGUGGCGAAGGCGACUUUCUGGUCUGUAACUGACACUGAGGCGCGAAAGCG
rnacentral:rRNA from 1 species